UACGAGGGGGGGCGAGCGUUGUUCGGAAUUAUUGGGCGUAAAGGGUGCGUAGGCGGUUCGGUAAGUCUCAUGUGAAAUCUACAGGCUCAACUUGUAGUCUGCAUGAGAAACUGCCGGGCUUGAGUAUGGGAGAGGUGAGUGGAAUUCCUGGUGUAGCGGCGAAAUGCGUAGAUAUCAGGAGGAACACCUGUGGCGAAAGCGGCUCACUGGACCAUAACUGACGCUGAUGCACGAAAGCUAGGGGAGCAAACAGG
rnacentral:rRNA from 1 species